rnacentral:rRNA from 1 species
UGGCGCACGGGUGCGUAACGCGUAUGCAACCUACCUUCAACAGGUGAAUAGCCCCGAGAAAUCGGGAUUAAUACACCGUAACAUUGCGAGAUGGCAUCAUUUUGCAAUUAAAGAUUUAUCGGUUAAAGAUGGGCAUGCGUGACAUUAGCUAGUUGGUGAGGUAACGGCUCACCAAGGCAACGAUGUCUAGGGGUCCUGAGAGGGUUAUCCCCCACACUGGUACUGAGACACGGACCAGACUCCUACGGGAGGCAGCAGUAAGGAAUAUUGGUCAAUGGGCGGAAGCCUGAACCAGCCAUGCCGCGUGCAGGAAGACGGCCCUAUGGGUUGUAAACUGCUUUUGUCAGGGAAUAAACCUGCCUACGUGUAGGCAGCUGAAGGUACCUGAAGAAUAAGCAUCGGCUAACUCCGUGCCAGCAGCCGCGGUAAUACGGAGGAUGCAAGCGUCAUCCGGAUUCAUUGGGUUUAAAGGGUGCGCAGGCGGAUUAUUAAGUCAGGGGUGAAAUCUCUCGGCUCAACCGAGAAACUGCCUUUGAUACUGAUAGUCUAGAGUAUAGUUGAAGUUGGCGGAAUGUGUCAUGUAGCGGUGAAAUGCUUAGAUAUGACACAGAACACCGAUCGCGAAGGCAGCUAGCUAAGCUAUAACUGACGCUCAUGCACGAAAGCGUGGGGAUCAAACAGGAUUAGAUACCCUGGUAGUCCACGCUGUAAACGAUGAUUACUCGAUGUUGGCGAUACACAGUCAGCGUCUGAGCGAAAGCAAUAAGUAAUCCACCUGGGGAGUACGAUCGCAAGAUUGAAACUCAAAGGAAUUGACGGGGGCCCGCACAAGCGGAGGAGCAUGUGGUUUAAUUCGAUGAUACGCGAGGAACCUUACCUGGGCUAGAA